UCUUGGUCAUUUAGAGGAAGUAAAAGUCGUAACAAGGUCUCCGUAGGUGAACCUGCGGAGGGAUCAUUACAGAGUUCAUGCCCUUCGGGGUAGACCUCCCACCCAGUGUAUUUAUACCUUUGUUGCUUUGGCAGGCCGCUAGGCCUCGGUCUAGCUCCUGGCUCCGGCUAGGGAGUGCCUGCCAGAGGACCCUAAAACCUGAAUGUUAGUGUCGUCUGAGUACUAUACAAUAGUUAAAACUUUCAACAACGGAUCUCUUGGUUCUGGCAUCGAUGAAGAACGCAGCGAAAUGCGAUAAGUAAUGUGAAUUGCAGAAUUCAGCGAAUCAUCGAAUCUUUGAACGCACAUUGCGCCCCUUGGUAUUCCGGGGGGCAUGCCUGUUCGAGCGUCAUUACAACCCUCAAGCUCUGCUUGGUGUUGGGCGUCACCAGCCUUGGUGUGCCCUAAAAUCAGUGGCGGCGCCGUCUGGCUCUAAGCGUAGUACAUACUCUCGCUAUGGACGCCUGGCGGAUGCUUGCCAGCAAACCCCUAAUUUAUCAAGGUUGACCUCGGAUCAGGUAGGGAUACCCGCUGAACUUAAGCAUAUCAAUAAGCGGAGGA
rnacentral:rRNA from 1 species